rnacentral:rRNA from 1 species
AUUGAACGCUGGCGGCAUGCCUUACACAUGCAAGUCGAACGGUAACGCGGGGCAACCUGGCGACGAGUGGCGAACGGGUGAGUAAUAUAUCGGAACGUGCCCAGUAGUGGGGGAUAGCCCGGCGAAAGCCGGAUUAAUACCGCAUGAGACCUGAGGGUGAAAGCGGGGGAUCGCAAGACCUCGCGCUAUUGGAGCGGCCGAUAUCAGAUUAGGUAGUUGGUGGGGUAAAGGCCUACCAAGCCGACGAUCUGUAGCUGGUCCUGAGAGGACGACCAGCCACACUGGGACUGAGACACGGCCCAGACUCCUACGGGAGGCAGCAGUGGGGAAUUUUGGACAAUGGGCGCAAGCCUGAUCCAGCCAUGCCGCGUGCGGGAAGAAGGCCUUCGGGUUGUAAACCGCUUUUGUCAGGGAAGAAAUCUUCUGAGCUAAUACCUCGGGGGGAUGACGGUACCUGAAGAAUAAGCACCGGCUAACUACGUG